rnacentral:rRNA from 1 species
CCUACGGGAGGCAGCAGUGGGGAAUAUUGGACAAUGGGCGCAAGCCUGAUCCAGCAAUGCCGCGUGAGUGAUGAAGGCCUUCGGGUCGUAAAGCUCUUUUACCCGGGAUGAUAAUGACAGUACCGGGAGAAUAAGCUCCGGCUAACUCCGUGCCAGCAGCCGCGGUAAUACGGAGGGAGCUAGCGUUGUUCGGAAUUACUGGGCGUAAAGCGCACGUAGGCGGUUAUUCAAGUCAGAGGUGAAAGCCCGGGGCUCAACCCCGGAACUGCCUUUGAAACUAGAUGACUAGAAUCUUGGAGAGGUCAGUGGAAUUCCGAGUGUAGAGGUGAAAUUCGUAGAUAUUCGGAAGAACACCAGUGGCGAAGGCGACUGACUGGACAAGUAUUGACGCUGAGGUGCGAAAGCGUGGGGAGCAAACAGGAUUAGAUACCCGUGGUAGUCCACGCCGUAAACGAUGAUAACUAGCUGUCCGGGUACUUGGUAUUUGGGUGGCGCAGCUAACGCAUUAAGUUAUCCGCCUGGGGAGUACGGUCGCAGAUUAAAACUCAAAUGAAUUGAACGG